AGAAAAGGGGGUAGAAGAUCGCAGCCUCUCUCCCCAUGUUUCCAAUUUACUCUGCAUAGACACAGGAUAAAGAAUCUUCCUUCUGUUGGCAGAAACAUGGAUGCCACGGGGCUGGAGAAUGAAGCCAAGACAUAGAAGAGGGCAGAGACAAUAGGAUCCCCACAAAGAGGACUCAAGCCCCUGGUACUGCCUUGGAGCCAUAUGACCUCGUGUUGAGAUUUUCCGCUACUUCCAUCCAAAAACAUCCUAAAUGACAUAAAAGCAGCAUUUGAGAGCAAAGCUUUGAAGUGCAAAGCUUUGACUAAUAGGCC
rnacentral:lncRNA from 1 species